ACAUAGCAUCAAGAGUAGGACUUGUUCCUCACCAACCUGCAACUCCAAAGCAAGGUGGUCAAUAGAUGCGGCAAUCGCAAACAAUUGGAGAACA
rnacentral:ncRNA from 1 species